rnacentral:rRNA from 1 species
ACUUUUAUUCUAGCCUAACACACCCCCCCCCCCCCAUCUUAUUUUAUAAAACAUUUUUAAACGAUAGUAUGAGAGACAGAAAGCCUAUUAGCGCAAUAGACAAAGUACUGCAAAGGAAAGAUGAAAUAGAAAUGAAAUAAUACAAAAAUAUAAAAAGCAAAGCCAAACUCUUUUACCUUUUGCAUAAUGGUCUAGCCAGUUUACCUUUACAAAAAGAAUUUUAGCUAAAUACCCCGAAACCAACCGAGCUACCUUUAGGCAGCACACUGAGCGAACUCUUCUCUGUAGCAAAAGAGUGAAAAGACCUAAACGGUAGAGGUGAAAAACCUAACGAGGUUGGAUAUAGCUGGUUACUUGAGAAUGGAUUUAAGUUCAACUAAAAAUAUCUUUAUCAACAAAAGAACAACAAUAUUUUUAAUAUAGUUAGUUAGGGUACAGCCUAACUAAUAAGGGAGACAACCCACAUAAAUAAAUAAAGAUUAUACUAAAUUAAGGAAUUAAUACAGUAGGCCUAAAAGCAGCCACCAUUAAAAGCGUCAAAGCUUAAUUAUAAAACACUCAUUAUUCCAACUACUUAUCUUAAUUUACUUUAAAAAUCAAGUUAAUCUACAAUAUAGAUGAAUUACUACUAGAAUAAGUAAUAAGGUCAGAAAACCUCUCCAUACACGUGUAUAUCAAAAUAAACAAAUUACUGAUAAUUAACAUAACAUCUCUUCUAACAAGAACAUUGAUAUUAACUUAUGUUAACCCAACACAGGUGUAUUAAAGAAAGAUUUUAAGUCUAAAAAGGAACUCGGCAAAACCAAGCUUCGCCUGUUUACCAAAAACAUCGCCCUCUGACCAAAUAAUAUAGAGGGUCCUGCCUGCCCAGUGACACUCGUUUAACGGCCGCGGUAUUAUGACCGUGCAAAGGUAGCGUAAUCACUUGUCUCCUAAAUAAAGACCAGUAUGAAUGGCAAAACGAAAGCUUAACUGUCUCCUUGGAUUAAUCAAUGAAAUUGAUCUUUCCGUGCAGAAGCGGAAAUAUCUUUAUAAGACAAAAAGACCCCAUGGAGCUUUAAAUCUAAAUUAAUCAUAUGUAAUAAAAAUACAAUAAACAAUUUAAUAUAAGAUUUUGGGUUGGGGCGACCGCGGAGUAAACUUUAACCUCCGAGACAAGUAAUUAAGAAAGACAUUUCAAAAUAAUAAAAUAGCUAAUACACUUGAUCCAAUAUUUGAUCAACGAACCAAGUUACCCUGGGGAUAACAGCGCAAUCCUUUUAGAGAGUUCAUAUCGACAAGGGGGUUUACGACCUCGAUGUUGGAUCAGGGCCCCCAAAUGGUGCAGCAACUAUUAAAGGUUCGUUUGUUCAACGAUUAAAGCCCUACGUGAUCUGAGUUCAGACCGGAGCAAUCCAGGUCAGUUUUUAUCUAUAAAAAGUUUUCCCCAGUACGAAAGGACCAGGAAAAAAAGGCCUAUAACAAAUUAAGCCUUCUCGCCCCCCCCUGAAAUCAUAUAAAGAGGAUGCCGAGAAAACACUAAAUCAAGAAGCGAUUU